rnacentral:rRNA from 1 species
AUUGAACGCUGGCGGCAUGCCUUACACAUGCAAGUCGAACGGCAGCACGGGAGCAAUCCUGGUGGCGAGUGGCGAACGGGUGAGUAAUACAUCGGAACGUGCCCAAUCGUGGGGGAUAACGCAGCGAAAGCUGUGCUAAUACCGCAUACGAUCUACGGAUGAAAGCAGGGGAUCGCAAGACCUUGCGCGAAUGGAGCGGCCGAUGGCAGAUUAGGUAGUUGGUGAGGUAAAGGCUCACCAAGCCGUCGAUCUGUAGCUGGUCUGAGAGGACGACCAGCCACACUGGGACUGAGACACGGCCCAGACUCCUACGGGAGGCAGCAGUGGGGAAUUUUGGACAAUGGGCGAAAGCCUGAUCCAGCCAUGCCGCGUGCAGGAUGAAGGCCUUCGGGUUGUAAACUGCUUUUGUACGGAACGAAACGGCCUUUUCUAAUAAAGAGGGCUAAUGACGGUACCGUAAGAAUAAGCACCGGCUAACUACGUGCCAGCAGCCGCGGUAAUACGUAGGGUGCAAGCGUUAAUCGGAAUUACUGGGCGUAAAGCGUGCGCAGGCGGUUAUGUAAGACAGUUGUGAAAUCCCCGGGCUCAACCUGGGAACUGCAUCUGUGACUGCAUAGCUAGAGUACGGUAGAGGGGGAUGGAAUCCCGCGUGUAGCAGUGAAAUGCGUAGAUAUGCGGAGGAACACCGAUGGCGAAGGCAAUCCCCUGGACCUGUACUGACGCUCAUGCACGAAAGCGUGGGGAGCAAACGGG